rnacentral:rRNA from 1 species
AGUGAACGCUGGCGGCGUGCCUAAUACAUGCAAGUCGAACGCAGUGGCGCGCGGGUGUGUAAUAUAUAUUUAAUCUGCCCUACACAGAGGAACAACAGUUUGAAACGACUGCUAAUACCCCAUAGUGUAGUCUGAGACUAUAUCGUAUCAGCUAGUUGAUAAGGUAAUGGCUUAACAAGGCUAUGACGCGUAACUGGUCUGAGAGGAAGGUCAGUCACAUUGGAACGGAGACACGGUACAAACUCCUACGGGAGGGAGCGGUAAGGAAUAUUGCGAAGUGGGGGAAGCCCUGACGGAGCAAGGACGCGUGGAGGCUGAUACUUGUCGGAGCGGAAAGUACUUGUAUCAGGAAAGCGGUACCUGAAGAGUAAGCACCGGCUAACUCCGUGCCAGCAGCCGCGGUAAUUC